AAAAAAACAAAAAAGGCUAUCAUGAAAAAGGCCUUCUAUCAGAAAAUAGAAAGAUAUAGAUUCGCUCUCUCAAGAGGAAAAAAAUCAAUUGAAAAAGCACGUGAAUAUGUUAAAAUAUUCACCACUGAAAAAAUAAAAGACGAUGAGAUUUUGUUACUCAGUAUAGGAUUAAAAUAUCUACCGUCUCCCUCGACCAAAUUUGCAAAAUCUAGUAUUGCAUCAGAUUUCAAUGAAUUUGCAAGAAAACUAAGAUGUAAAUAUCAUUUUGACAAGGGUGAAAUUUUUAAACGUCAUCCCUUUAUAACAAAAUCUGGAUAUGAACCGGUUAUGCAGGAAGUGACUGCAAAACAAAGAAAAGACACAUUUAUGGUAAAGCCCAAAUCUGUAUUACAGUCGCCUCCCUUGGUAUUCUCAACAGUGUUUUCAAGACAGAAAUCACACAUAAAGAACAAUAUCUUAAAUCAAUGGGAUACAUUGAAGGAUGACGAAGAGGCAAACAUUUUAUUUUAUUUGAUAAAAGACCUCUGUUUGCUUUCCGUAUGCAUAAAAACUUGAAAGACACAGUAACAUCAGCAACUCUGGGUAAUUGAUAUGUUGCAGAUUAUGAAAAUAGU
rnacentral:lncRNA from 1 species